rnacentral:rRNA from 1 species
CUGUGGUGCACUCCAUGGGCAUGCGCGUCAGCGUCGGUUCUCGGCGAGUGAUGAGGUGCCGGGGGAAGGUGGCUCGCCUCUUCGGAGGGGAGUGUUAUAGACCCUGGUGCUGGGCUCGCUGUGGGACCGAGGAGAGAGAUGAUCGCUGCGGCACCUGCCUCUCGGGGCUAGCCAGCUGUUGUCAGAUGUGUGUCAAGCGUUGAGGACUGCACGCAGUGCUUGGUGUCUUGGCGUGGUCUGGUGGCGGUGUGGGCAUAGAGGUGCCUAGGACGCUGGCGUCCAAAUGGCCGUGCGCGACCCGUCUUGAAACACGGACCAAGGAGUCUAACAUGUGCGCGAGUCUUAGGGUGUGCAAGCCCUCGGGCGCAAUGAAAGUGAAAGUUCAGCGUUGGUUGAGCUUAGGUGAGAGCCGUCGCUGGCCUGACGCCACGGCGGCGCAUCAUCGGCCGGUCCAUCCUGCUCUCAGGAGGAUCCGAGCAAGAGCGUAUUUGUUGGGACCCGAAAGAUGGUGAACUAUGCCUGAAUAGGGUGAAGCCAGAGGAAACUCUGGUGGAGGCUCGUAGGGAUUCUAACGUGCAAAUUGAUCUCAAAAUUUGGGUAUAGGGGCGAAAGACUAAUCGAACCAUCUAGUAGCUGGUUCCCUCCGAAGUUUCCCUCAGGAUAGCUGGAACUCGUCAACACAGUUUUAUCAGGUAAAGCGAAUGAUUAGAGGUCUUGGGGAUGAAACAUCCUCAACCUAUUCUCAAACUUUAAAUCGGUAAGAAGCGUGACUUGCUUAAUUGAAGCCGCGCAAUCAAUGUGAGUUCCAAGUGGGCCAUUUUUGGUAAGCAGAACUGGCGAUGCGGGAUGAACCGAACGCUCGGUUAAGGUGCCAAAGUUGACGCUCAUCAGACCCCAGAAAAGGUGUUGGUUGAUAUAGACAGCAGGACGGUGGCCAUGGAAGUCGGAAUCCGCUAAGGAGUGUGUAACAACUCACCUGCCGAAUCAACUAGCCCUGAAAAUGGAUGGCGCUCAAGCGUCACACCUAUACCGGGCCGUCGUCGUAAAUGCCAGGCGACGACGAGUAGGAGGGCGCGGGGGUCGUGAUGCAGCCCUUGGCGUGAGCCUGGGUCAAACGGCCUCUGGUGCAGAUCUUGGUGGUAGUAGCAAAUAUUCAAAUGAGAGCUUUGAAGACCGAAGUGGAGAAAGGUUCCAUGUGAACAGCAGUUGGACAUGGGUUAGUCGAUCCUAAGAGAUAGGGGAACUCCGUGUCAACGUGCGCAAUCGGUCUCGUGCCGCCUUGCGCCACCUAUCGAAAGGGAAUCGGGUUAAUAUUCCCGAACCGGAAUGGAGAUAUUCUCUGGCUCUCGGGUCAGGAGCGGCAACGCUAGCGAACCGCGAGACGUCGGCGGGGGCUCCGGGAAGAGUUGUCUUUUCUUUUUAACGCAGUCGCCAUCCCUGGAAUCGGUUUGCCCGGAGAUAGGGUUGGCUGGCUCGGUAAAGCAGCACACUUCAUGUGCUGUCCGGUGCGCUCUCGACGGCCCUUGAAAAUCGCGGGGG